rnacentral:rRNA from 1 species
GGGCCAGGUUUUGUAGCAAUACAAACUUGGUUCAGUGGCGCACGGGUGCGUAACACGUGAGCAAUCUGCCGGGAAGUGGGGGAUAGCUCGCCGAAAGGCGAAUUAAUACCGCAUGUGGCCAUCCUUCGAGUGGAGGAAAAGCCAAAGCAGCAAUGCGCUUCCUGAUGAGCUCGCGGCCUAUCAGCUCGAUGGCGGGGUAAUGGCCCACCAUGGCUUUGACGGGUAGCUGGUCUGAGAGGACGACCAGCCACACUGGAACUGAGAUACGGUCCAGACACCUACGGGUGGCAGCAGUCGAGAAUUUUUCACAAUGGGGGAAACCCUGAUGGAGCGACGCCGCGUGGAGGAUGAAGGCCUUCGGGUUGUAAACUCCUGUCAUGCGGGAACAAGCAAGUGAUAGUACCGCAAGAGGAAGAGACGGCUAACUCUGUGCCAGCAGCCGCGGUAAUACAGAGGUCUCAAGCGUUGUUCGGAUUCAUUGGGCGUAAAGGGUGCGUAGGUGGUGGCGCAAGUCUGGUGUGAAAUCUCGGAGCUCAACUCCGAAAUUGCACCGGAUACUGCGUGACUCGAGGACUGUAGAGGAGAUCGGAAUUCACGGUGUAGCAGUGAAAUGCGUAGAUAUCGUGAGGAAGACCAGUUGCGAAGGCGGAUCUCUGGGCAGUUCCUGACACUGAGGCACGAAGGCCAGGGGAGCAAACGGGAUUAGAUACCCCGGUAGUCCUGGCAGUAAACGGUGCACGUUUGGUUGUGGGCGGGUUCAGACCCCGUCCGUGCCGGAGCUAACGCGUUAAACGUGCCGCCUGGGAAGUAC